rnacentral:rRNA from 1 species
GAUGAACGCUGGCGGCGUGCCUAAUACAUGCAAGUCGAGCGAACGGACGAGAAGCUUGCUUCUCUGAUGUUAGCGGCGGACGGGUGAGUAACACGUGGAUAACCUACCUAUAAGACUGGGAUAAUUUCGGGAAACCGGAGCUAAUACCGGAUAAUAUUUUGAACCGCAUGGUUCAAAAGUGAAAGACGGUCUUGCUGUCACUUAUAGAUGGAUCCGCGCUGCAUUAGCUAGUUGGUAAGGUAACGGCUUACCAAGGCAACGAUGCAUAGCCGACCUGAGAGGGUGAUCGGCCACACUGGAACUGAGACACGGUCCAGACUCCUACGGGAGGCAGCAGUAGGGAAUCUUCCGCAAUGGGCGAAAGCCUGACGGAGCAACGCCGCGUGAGUGAUGAAGGUCUUCGGAUCGUAAAACCCUGUUAUUAGGGAAGAACAUAUGUGUAAGUAACUGUGCACAUCUUGACGGUACCUAAUCAGAAAGCCACGGCUAACUACGUG